ACCGGGGAGUGCUGCAGAAAUCCAUUGGUUUUUUCCCUUUACAGCUACUACAUGAGCGCAGUGGGUGUGGUUUAAGGGAUGUUACCAGAGAUCGAUGGGAAAUUGAAACAGGCAAAUCAGGCAUGUUUGUUGAGGGUGUAGCUGUGGUAUGGACUGAUCACAACCUGCUGCAGGUGACAGGUAACAAUGAUAAACUGCUCCAUUGGAGCCCUAUCCUCCAACAGUAUAAUUUCACUGCCCAGCACAAAAAGGGCAGCUUGCAUGGGAAUGCAGAUGGCCUGUCUCAGCAACUAGAGGGUUAAUGGUAGAC